GAUGAACGCUGGCGGCGUGCCUAAUACAUGCAAGUCGAGCGAACAGACGAGGAGCUUGCUCCUCUGACGUUAGCGGCGGACGGGUGAGUAACACGUGGAUAACCUACCUAUAAGACUGGGAUAACUUCGGGAAACCGGAGCUAAUACCGGAUAAUAUAUUGAACCGCAUGGUUCAAUAGUGAAAGACGGUUUUGCUGUCACUUAUAGAUGGAUCCGCGCCGCAUUAGCUAGUUGGUAAGGUAACGGCUUACCAAGGCAACGAUGCGUAGCCGACCUGAGAGGGUGAUCGGCCACACGGGAACUGAGACACUGUCCAGACUCCUACGGGAGGCAGCAGUAGGGAAUCUGCCGCAAGGGGCGAAAGCCGGACGGAGCAACGCCGCGUGAGUGAUGAAGGUCUUCGGAUCGUAAAACUCUGUUAUGAGGGAAAAACAAAUGUGUAAGUAACUAGGCACGUUGAGACGGUCCCAAAUCAGAAAGCCACGGCUAACUACG
rnacentral:rRNA from 1 species